GACGAACGCUGGCGGCGUGCUUAACACAUGCAAGUCGAACGGAAAGGCCCUGCUUGCAGGGUACUCGAGUGGCGAACGGGUGAGUAACACGUGGGUGAUCUGCCCUGCACGUCGGGAUAAGCCUGGGAAACUGGGUCUAAUACCGGAUAGGAGCCAUUUUUAGUGUGAUGGUUGGAAAGGUUUUUUCGGUGUAGGAUGAGCUCGCGGCCUAUCAGCUUGUUGGGGGGGGAAUGGUCUACCAAGGCGGCGACGGGUAGCCGGCCUGAGAGGGUGGACGGGCCAAUUGGGGCUGGGAUACGGCCCAGACUCCUACGGGGGGGAGCAGUGGGGAAUAUUGGAGAAUGGGGGCGAGCCUGAUGCAGCGAAGCCGCGUGGGGGAUGACGGCCUUCGGGUUGUAAACUCUUUUCGCUAGGGACGAAGCUUUUUGUGACGGUACCUAGAUAAGAAGCACCGGCUAACUACGUG
rnacentral:rRNA from 1 species